rnacentral:rRNA from 1 species
UUCCGGUUGAUCCUGCCAGACCUGACUGCUAUCGGAUUGAUACUAAGCCAUGCGAGUCUUUGUAGUAAUACAAGGCAUACGGCUCAGUAACGCGUAGUCAACCUACCCUAUGGACAAGAAUAAUCUCGGGAAACUGAGCAUAAUUCUUGAUAGAUCAUAAUGCCUGGAAUGGUUUAUGGUUAAAAUGAUUCGUCGCCAUAGGAUGGGACUGCGGCCUAUCAGCUUGUUGGUGAGGUAAUGGCCCACCAAGGCGAUUACAGGUACGGGCUCUGAGAGGAGUAGCCCGGAGAUGGGUACUGAGACAAGGACCCAGGCCCUAUGGGGCGCAGCAGGCGAGAAAACUUUGCAAUGUGCGAAAGCACGACAAGGUUAAUCCGAGUGAUUUCUGCUAAAGAAAUCUUUUGCAAGUCAUAAAACCACUAGUGAAUAAGGGGUGGGCAAGUUCUGGUGUCAGCCGCCGCGGUAAAACCAGCACCUCAAGUGGUCAGGAGGAUUAUUGGGCCUAAAGCAUCCGUAGCCGGCUCUGUAAGUUUUCGGUUAAAUCCAUGUGCUCAACGCAUGGGCUGUCGAAAAUACUGCAUAGCUAGGGAGUGGGAGAGGUAGACGGUACUCGGUAGGAAGGGGUAAAAUCCUUUGAUCUAUCGAUGACCACCUGUGGCGAAGGCGGUCUACCAGAACACGUUCGACGGUGAGGGAUGAAAGCUGGGGGAGCAAACCGGAUUAGAUACCCGGGUAGUCCCAGCUGUAAACGAUGCAGACUCGAUGAUGCAUUGGCAUAUAGCCAGUGCAGUGUCGCAGGGAAGCCGUUAAGUCUGCCGCCUGGGAAGUACGUACGCAAGUAUGAAACUUAAAGGAAUUGGCGGGGGAGCACCACAAGGGGUGAAGCCUGCGGUUCAAUUGGACUCAACGCCGGGA